rnacentral:rRNA from 1 species
GACACUGCUUUUGUCGGGGAAAAAAUCCUAUUACCUGUAGGGUGUUGAUGGUACCAUGACAAUAAGGAUCGGCUAACUUCGUGCCAGCCGCCCCGGCAAU